rnacentral:rRNA from 1 species
GACGAACGCUGGCGGCGUGCUUAACACAUGCAAGUCGAACGGAAAGGCCCUGCUUUUGUGGGGUGCUCGAGUGGCGAACGGGUGAGUAACACGUGAGUAACCUGCCCUUGACUUUGGGAUAACUUCAGGUAACUGGGGCUAAUACCGGAUAGGAGCUCCUGAUGGAUGGUGGGGGUUGGAAAGUUUCGGCGGUUGGGGUUGGACUCGCGGCUUAUCAGCUUGUUGGUGGGGUAGGGGCUUACCAAGGCUUUGACGGGUAGCCGGCAUGAGUGGGUGACCGGCCACAUUGGGACUGAGAUACGGCGCAGACUCCUACGGGAGGCAGCAGUGGGGAAUAUGGCACAGUGGGGGGAAGCCUGAGGCGGAGACGCCGCGGGCGGGAUGACGGCCUUCGGGUAGUGAACCGCUGUCGCCUGUGACGAAGCGUGAGUGACGGUAAUGGGUAAAGAAGCACCGGCUAACUACGUG